rnacentral:rRNA from 1 species
UCGAACGCGUCUCCGUUGAUGAUUUUAGGUGCUUGCACUUGAAAGCUUAACAUUGAGACGAGUGGCGAACUGGUGAGUAACACGUGGGUAACCUGCCCUUGAAGUAGGGGAUAACACUUGGAAACAGGUGCUAAUACCGUAUAACAACCAAAACCACCUGGUUUUGGUUUAAAAGACGGCUUCGGCUGUCACUUUAGGAUGGACCCGCGGCGCAUUAGCUUGUUGGUAAGGUAACGGCUUACCAAGGCGAUGAUACGUAGCCGACCUGAGAGGGUAAUCGGCCACAUUGGGACUGAGACACGGCCCAAACUCCUACGGGAGGCAGCAGUAGGGAAUCUUCCACAAUGGACGAAAGUCUGAUGGAGCAACGCCGCGUGAGUGAUGAAGGGUUUCGGCUCGUAAAACUCUGUUGUUGGAGAAGAACAGGUGUCAGAGUAACUGUUGACAUCUUGACGGUAUCCAACCAGAAAGCCACGGCUAACUACGUGCCAGCAGCCGCGGUAAUACGUAGGUGGCAAGCGUUGUCCGGAUUUAUUGGGCGUAAAGCGAGCGCAGGCGGUUUUUUAGGUCUGAUGUGAAAGCCUUCGGCUUAACCGGAGAAGUGCAUCGGAAACCGGGAGACUUGAGUGCAGAAGAGGACAGUGGAACUCCAUGUGUAGCGGUGAAAUGCGUAGAUAUAUGGGAGAACACCAGUGGCGAAGGCGGCUGUCUGGUCUGUAACUGACGCUGAGGCUCGAAAGCAUGGGUAGCGAACAGGAUUAGAUACCCUGGUAGUCCAUGCCGUAAACGAUGAGUGCUAAGUGUUGGAGGGUUUCCGCCCUUCAGUGCUGCAGCUAACGCAUUAAGCACUCCGCCUGGGGAGUACGACCGCAAGGUUGAAACUCAAAGGAAUUGACGGGGGCCCGCACAAGCGGUGGAGCAUGUGGUUUAAUUCGAUGC